GUAGGUGGCAAGCGUUGUCCGGAAUUAUUGGGCGUAAAGCGCGCGCAGGCGGUUCUUUAAGUCUGAUGUGAAAGCCCACGGCUCAACCGUGGAGGGUCAUUGGAAACUGGAGAACUUGAGUACAGAAGAGGAAAGCGGAAUUCCACGUGUAGCGGUGAAAUGCGUAGAGAUGUGGAGGAACACCAGUGGCGAAGGCGGCUUUCUGGUCUGUAACUGACGCUGAGGCGCGAAAGCGUGGGGAGCAAACAGGGAUUAGAUACCCUGGUAGUCCACGCCGUAAACGAUGAGUGCUAAGUGUUAGGGGGUUUCCGCCCCCUUAGUGCUGCAGCUAACGCAUUAAGCACUCCGCCUGGGGAGUACGGCCACAAGGCUG
rnacentral:rRNA from 1 species